CUAUGCCACACCAACCGUGUGUCUAGGAAAAAAAACGGACAGACAUUUGAGUUAUGGUGUGUUGAAGGGCUCGCAAAUCAUCAAAAGUCGUGUAUGGAUCCUGUCCCUUCUCUCCCUUGGCUCCUCGUUCAGCAAGGAGACCAGUUGGGUCUGCGCUGUAACGUUGUCCACUGCAGUCCUCCCGCCCACCUAAUGAAACAAAAAGAAACCAACAAAGACAUUAAUGAUUGACUCAUACCGUCAUCUUUAAUCUAAAUAACGGAACCGUUAAUGGAACAGAAUGUACUGUGCCAGCCACAAGGACGCUUGAUCUCGGGGAGGACUGCUUCCUUAGAGUACCAUUACAUCGUGGAUCUUCCUGUUUGGCACGGACAAAUCCACCACCAG